rnacentral:rRNA from 1 species
CAGCCGUAAACAAUGUGCGUUAGGUGUGUCGGUAACCACGCGUUACUGAUGCGCCGAAGAGAAAUCGUGAAACGCACCACCUGGGAAGUACGGUCGCAAGGCUGAAACUUAAAGGAAUUGGCGGGGGGAGCACCACAACAGGUGGAGCCUGCGGUUUAAUUGGACUCAACGCCGGGAAGCUCACCGGAUAGGACAGCAGAAUGAUUGCCGGGCUGAAGACCCUGCAUGACUAGCUGAGAGGUGGUGCAUGGCGUCAGUGACU